rnacentral:snRNA from 1 species
AUAGUAGGCAGUGCCAUGAUUGUGAAGAUGGUUUUCUAUGGCUCUCCAGAUGUGCUAACCCUGCGGCUUCCCCAGAUGUGGGAAAGUGGACUGCAUAGUUUGUGGUAGUGGGGGCUGUUCUUGUUCUCCCCUU